GCUGAGGUAGCUCAACAGGUAGAGCGUACUUGCUAUAGCGUGACAGGCGAUGCAAGUAAGAUGUGUGUUUGAGACACACCCCCAGUUCCA
rnacentral:tRNA from 1 species